rnacentral:rRNA from 1 species
UACGUAGGGGGCAAGCGUUGUCCGGAAUCAUUGGGCGUAAAGAGCGCGUAGGCGGUCCGGUAAGUCGGUUGUGAAAACUGGGGGCUCAACCCUCAGAGGCCGACCGAUACUGCCGGGCUAGAGUCCGGAAGAGGCGAGUGGAAUUCCUGGUGUAGCGGUGAAAUGCGCAGAUAUCGGGAGGAACACCUAUGGCGAAGGCAGCUCGCUGGGACGUUACUGACGCUGAGACGCGAAAGCGUGGGGAGCAAACAGG